GUCUCCCGUUAGGAGCCGGGGAGGCAAGGUCCAGCGUACGGUCCGGGGGAACCUUAACUGUCGUUUCUGUGCCUGGACAGUAGGUUGGAGAGUGGGGUCUGAAUGAGCUACAGUAGUGAACGCCGACGGCUUGUGUUGAGGGCAGGAAAGGGUGCACACAGCUCCGGCAGGUGCUUCCGCGAGAAAGGUGACUGAUACAACAACGUAGAGGACCCUGCAAUGUGGAGAGGCAUGAAACUGGAGGUCCAGUGCCGUGAGUUAACAAUCAAGACGUCCAUACAGGAGAUGCAUUGGUGGAUGGGUGAAGAGAUGAUAAAACGAAAAGCCCAGAGGAGAAAUGAGGAUGCAAAGAGAAAGAAAAAAACCCCAACCAGAGAGCUGCAAGGAUAUCAGGAAGAGGGAGCGUCCGGGGACGGAGCAGAGCGCGCUUUUCCGAACGCCUUACUCCGGGCUGGGGCUGCUUUCUGCAAGCCCGUGCGGUGCACGUGAGGAGGCUUUCCUUGCGGUGGUGAAAUCAAACACACCUAAGGCGUGAGUCCUCCAGACUUUCCUCACCUGGGCAGCUUGGCCCCGGCCACCUGUGCCUCGCCCGGAGAAACUCCAACGUGCAGGGCGCUGAUGGACGAGAUAGAGCACGACAUCACCAAGGCUCGGCAGAAGAAGACCAAGGUGGGAUCCUUCCGAAUCAAUCCCGAUGGGACUCAGGAGAGGAGAAAGAUCCCCCUAGCUCAGUCGGAGGCGUUCCUAACGGAUCUUUUGGAGAAAGUCUGUGAGCGAAUGAACGACUACAAGCUUGAGGAAGACCCUGUGACGAAGGAGAGAACUUUCAAGAGAUUCGCUCCUAGGAAAGGAGACAAAAUAUACCAAGAAUUUAAAAAAUUGUAUUUUUAUUCUGAUGCUUACAGACCUUUGAAAUUUGCGUGUGAAACUAUAAUAGAAGAGUAUGAAGAUGAAAUAUCCUCACUUAUCGCCCAGGAGACACACUAUCUAGCUGACAAGCUGUGCAGUGAAAAAUCAGAUCUGUGUGAAACUUCUGCUAAUCAUACUGAGCUCUAGGAGUGCCGUUCUGCUGGUCGUAGAGAGGAGUAAAGUCACACCCAAAGGUCAAUGUCUGCAUUUUAUGUUUGCAUGUUGUCUUUCAUGAUAAGAAAAAUUUUGUCUCUUGUUUAUACCGUGUUUGUCUCCGUUUAUGAUUCAUUUUGAAAAUCUGUUGGUUGACAUCAUGACAAACCCUGCGUUUUUUUAUAGGUGAAGCUGAGGAGUACAUGAAACUUAAAUUAACCUUUGCAGAUUUUGAUAAAUCAAGCUUGACAAUAGAGGAUUUAAUUCUGUAUUGAGGAAAAAAGCGAAGACAUUUCAUAAACAAAAUAGGGAUUUCAUAAUGUAUGCUGCUUAUUUUAUAACAGUGUAUGUGCACAUAUGCAAGCGCAGUGGCUGUCUGAUAAGAACUGGAUUUGAAUCCUCAAAUACUUGAUUGCCUAUAAAUUUAAGGAAAUACAUGGCAACAAAUUCAAAAUGUGGCCUUCUGGGUGAGAUAUGGCUAUUAGUGAAAGAAACCCACUUUUUAUCAGGAAUGAAAUUAAAAUUUUUAGAAACCACAAGUUUAAAAACCCAUCUCUAAAAUUUAGUGGAAUGUGUAAAAACUAAUGAAUGCUUUAAUUUAUAGUAAACAAUAAUUAUAUUGGCCUCUCAAACACCAUUCUGAGUUUAAGUGGCUUAGAAAGUUGAUUUAUUAUUGCAUCAGGUGUUAAAAGAUGACACUAGUGAUUGCGUUUUGUUUCGCUCCAAACUCUUCUGGCUUGUUUGUUUUUCUUCUAAACGUUUUUUUUUUGGCUCACAUUUAGUGUGUUGAGUUUACUACUAAAUAAUCUACCAUUCUUCUACAGGAAUGGAAAAAGAGUUGGGACCUGGUGGGAAAUUAUCUUUUGGCCACACUUAAUAUACAAAGUCUAGUAACAAUCACUCCCGGAAAUUUCUUUAUCUCUGUUACAUUUGCAUUCAAUGGAAUCUGACUUUAAUGAUUAAAAAUGUCAGGGUAUGGUCUACACCAGUUUCUAAAAAGAGAUUCUCAUUGUCUUUGGUGACAAUCAAGUGGGUAGGAUGCUACAAAUCCCCCCCCCAACCCCCCCGACCCAAAACUCUUUGCCAUAUUGUUACUUAGUUGCUUAAAAAGCACAUUAUGUGUUUAAAUCAUUCUCCUGACUCUUCAGCAGGAAACAAUUCUUAAAUUUAGGAAAAUUUACCAAAGCUAAGGGGAAGGGCUUUCCAUGCCCCCUCCCCACCUAAACUCUGAUUAAAAGUUAGUGAGUUAAUGUCACUUAAUUACUUGGGUGCUUCUUUUUUGUCUUGUCUGUGGCUGCUUAAGUCUGAUGGCUCCUACAUAACCCAGCGAACUCGCACCCGAGCUGACACACGAUGGAAAUAGAACUGAAUAAUAAUUAACACUAUUUUCCAGUAGGGUAGGACAAUUGUUAUUUAAAACAUAGUCCCUAUAGCUUUAUUUAAACGUAUCUAGUUAAGGUUAAUUUGGCAUUUAAAGUAGUAAAUCAGGAACAUUCUCCUAACUUGGAUUUUCUUGGGAAAUGCACUAAACAGGACAAUUAUUCCUGAAAACCUAGUGACCUUCACAGGAACAUGGCGGGACCUGUGACACUAAGUAAGCUUCAGUGAAAACUGUUCACGGUCGUAACCGUAGAAGUGUUGCCAAAUCUGUUUCCAUACUCUCUUUGAUCAUCAUCAAACAUUCUCAAAUGUAGGCAAUGCUAACACUAAUUAUAGAAAUUAAGAAAAUGUGGGCUCCUGUUUGUAACUAAACGGACGUGGGGAGGUGCACCUCCUGUCACUGAGGGGUGCCUUUCAUGGACAGUGAUGCUUUGCUUUGAAUGGAGAGGGCGAGGAACCUUGACUUACAGUGACUAUCUAAGGUUGUGAUAAAUAUGGCAUUUCAGGUUUUUUUCUUGGAUUUCCCAUUAAAAAU
rnacentral:lncRNA from 1 species